AUUAAACCAAUGACCAUCAGCUUUCUGUCAUUUGCUACUAAGAACUUGGUUUGGAUGCACCUGGGUCAGUUCAGCUCCUAGAACGCUCUCCCAGAUAAACGGCAGGCUGGGGAGCUGUAGGCCUUGCUUGUAGGAUUGCUAUAUCAAUUCUCCAACCUGAGACUGUGAGGUCUCCUCAGCACUGGAGUGUGUGAAACUGCUUUUCUGGAUGGGAAGAUGUAUCCUGGGACUCAUCCAGAUAGCUCUAGCAUACGCUCAGAGUAACCAGAUACAAGUUGGCUCCCCGUCUGUGUUCAGCUUGGUACCUUGGAAGUCCAAGUGAAGGCUGACCAUUUAGACACAGCAGCCGUCUCACCCCCCACACAGCAGUAACUUAACACAUCUUUGAUGAACCGGCUGGCCUCUGUCUCAUCCAUGGGCUGAUGGAAGUGCUGAGGGCAGCAGUAGGCAAGGGAUGUUUGGCUACAGGGACCUGGGGAAAAAAGCUUCUCCCGUAGCCAUCUCCAUCAGCCCACAGCAGAGGGAGAGAAGGAGAUCUUUCCCAAGCCAGUCACCUCUCCACGCUCCCCAAAAUGCAGGAUGGUGACCCUGUCUGAGGGAAGCUGAUGAAGCCCUACAGGAGGGAGAUCUGAGUCAUGAGAGCCUUCUCAUGGAAAUUUACUUCCUGGCCUCCUUUCUGCUGCACACUGAGAACAGAAGAUGAACUAGGACGUGGUAGAGGGAAGCUGCAAUGGUCCCAGAGAGAAGCAGAGGAUUGCUGGCUUAGAAGAAAGCUUGCUUCCCAGGUUUGAGUGUUAGCUGAACCACACAGAGGACUGGCUGUGACCAGACAAAAUGGCCUUGCUGAAUUAAGCCAGACAGAAGAAACAAACCCCCUAAAAAAUCAUGUCCCAACAGGUAAAAGGGUAAGAGCUUGGGAGCAUUGGUAAGGAAACAAGAGCUCCAGGAUAACGUAAUCAGGAACAUCCUUCAACCAAUUACAGCACAUGCACUUUAUCUGCAGAUCUUACCCUUGGUGUUAUUCAGCUCAUAUGCUCUCAAUUCACUACAAAAGAGCAAAAAAUGAGCCAUCGGGAUGAUCUGAGAACCCACUCUUUCUGUCCUCAACCCUGGCUGACAGCACAGCUAAUGAUUUAUUUUCAUUUCUAUGUAUUUUAUGUCAAUCUGAUAGAUGUUCCCAGCAAUGUCAGUGGCAAAACAUCAGACAGUAGCAGAGUGCUGAGGGUCCCCUCUCAGCAGCAGCCCUAGGGUGGUUGCUGCUGGAAGGGAGGUGCCGAGAACCUGGCCAGAUAUUCAAGCUUUCAUUUGUUUCGCUGCCCCACUUAAUCCUCACAGCGUCCGAAGCCAGAAACGCUUCACUUAGAUUAAUGAGCCAAACUAAAACAAACCCGCAGGCUUCAAGCACGUGAGCUCCUGUUUAACACUGUGAGACCCGCUACUAACAGCAGCUUGGCUGCAGUACAGCUCACUAAGAAAGCUCUUUUUUUCCCCUUUUGGGCUUUUCUCCAGAGAUGAGGGGCUGGUGAGAGGAUCUGAGGACUGAACCCAUUGGGGUUUGUGCUGCUGCUGCCAACUAAAUCCCCAGUCCCAGCUGAGGUGGGCUGCUAGAUCAUAGAAUCAUAGAAUCAUUAAGGUUGGAAGGACUACUAAGUUCAUCUAGUCCAACCAUCAGCCCAUUCCUGUGACUGCUCUAGCGUGCGUCCCUCACUGCCACAUCUGCCCUGUUCUGGAACACCUCCAGGGAUGGUAACUCCACCACCUCACUGGGCAGCCUAUUCUGAUAUCUCAACACUCUUUGUGAGAAGAAAUCUUUUCCUAAUGUCCAACCUGAACCUUCCCUGGUGCAACUUAAGGCCAUUAGAUGCCUACCGUGCAGUCACUCUGAGCAGCUGCUGGAGGAACUCUGGGCAAAAAGUCAUCAAUUCAGACUUAACACUAAGCAAAAAUAUCUCAUUGGUCUCAUGUUGGAGUAGCUCCCACUUUUUUUCUCAUGUUGGUAAAAGAACUUCACUGCUUUAUGUUUAUGGUGUAUGAAGAGGUCCAAAUCUCUCCUUCCUUUGUUUCUCAG
ensembl:lncRNA